AACGAACGCUGGCGGCAGGCUCAACACAUGCAAGUCGAACGCCCCGCAAGGGGAGUGGCAGACGGGUGAGUAACACGUGGGAACGUGCCCUUCGCUACGGAAUAUUCCCGGGAAACUGGGAGCAAUGCCGUAUACGCCGUAUUGGGAAAGAUUUAUCGGCGAAGGAUCGGCCCGCGUUGGAUUAGGUAGUUGGCGGUGUAAUGGACCACCAAGCCUACGAUCCAUAGCUGGUCUGAGAGGACGACCAGCCACACUGGGACUGAGACACGGCCCAGACUCCUACGGGAGGCAGCAGUGGGGAAUCUUGGACAAUGGGCGCAAGCCUGAUCCAGCCAUGCCGCGUGAGUGAAGAAGGCCUUAGGGUUGUAAAACUCUUUCGCCGGAGAAGGUAAUGACGGUAUCCGGAGAAGAAGCCCCGGCUAACUUCGUGCCAGCCGCCGCCGUAAAAC
rnacentral:rRNA from 1 species